UCCACCACCAUUUAUCCCCCCAUAUCCCUCCCUGCCCUCGAAAUCACUGCACUGUUGUCCAUGUCCAUGAAGGUUUCCCAUUAUAAUGAAUAAAAUCAGAUCUUACAAUUACAUACCUCAUAUCUAAGGAAAGUAAACAUAGAUUGCACAUAUUUCUCAAGAACCCAUGUUUCUUUUUAUAAAUAAGAAGUAUCUGAGUCCUGUGGCUUUUUAAGGGUUCUUUCUUCAUCUUUAGCAUGCUAAAAUUAAAGUGAUUUUCAAGGGAAUUUUCAAGGGUUGCAAAAAUGUACAUAAAAGCAUCAGUACUGUGUUAGGAUAAAGGUGGCUUGGGAAGCAAUUGUGUAUCUCUGUCUUAAAAAAAAUUUAAUGCCUACUACUCAGAUAACAAUGUCAAGAGAAGAUUGCCAACCAGUUGGAAUAUAGGCUUGAGUUAUGCACCACUCAAAUAAGCCGCCAAAGUAAGGCUACAGAGUCAUUCCUGGAGAUUGUAGGGAAGAAUUUCAACAGCACCAUCUGUUAGAACCACAACCUGAAAAUAUUACCCUGGCCAAUUAUCACUCCAAAACACCGUGGAGUUCAAUCCACCUAUGUUGAAACAACUUGGCUAUAAUCCACUGUCAUAUUCUGGCUGUAGCUUUGUACCCCAUGGCCUCAAGUCAAGCCCAUUCCGUCUUGAGAUACCAGAUACCAAGAGGGUGCAAUUAUGUGUCUUCCCAUGGGUAAUCCCUCGAGUCUUCCAACUGGAAGAGCCUUGAGGCCCUCCUUCUCAGGCUCUUUCCUUGUAGGACUCCAGCUUUCACAUAAAUCCUUCUCAUCUCUCCAGUCCAGGAGUCCUCCACACAUGCCACCCACUCAGUGACUGAGGCAGGCCAGCAACCACCCCACCCGCCCACCCAUGCCCUGGCUUCUGAGCCAUCCCUGGCAAGGGGCACAAGCAUAGAUGCUUACAGAUGCCCAGCAGAUUACAUAAACAAGUGGAAGGCAGGCCAGACAUAUCAAAAAUAUGCAGAUGGUUGAGAGCCAGCAAACACAGGCCCCAUCUGAAAGGGACAGUCACUGCUCAGCCCCAGGAAGUUGUCAAUAUGCAGGAAUGCAGGGUGGGUGUUGCCAAAUGAUCUAAUUAUUCAAAUAUAUAUAAAGUCAACUAAUUUGCAAAUGCUGACCCUUUUUUUUUCUUAAACUGUUUGGGACAAACAAAACAUUAUAAUUUAGUCUUUUUACAGUAGUCAAAUUGUCUUUAUUCAGGUUUAGGAUUCUGUAGCUCUAAAAUGACCUAAAUAGACUUCUUAAUGACUGACCUCAAAAAGAUUCCUAUUCUGUUUCCUCUUCUUAGAACCUUUUUAGAGCUUCAGUCAAUGCAGGCAAUUGUUUGAGGGCAUUAGACUAGAUACAGGUGGAAUGCCAAAGAAUUCCCAUGUACACCUGCUAUCGUUUACAGUUAAUUAAACUCUGUAACAGGCAGAUAAAAAGGCCUCAGUUGCUAUUGCCAAUCUCACACAGCUGUGUGGGUGCUCAGCCAUUCUUGGCAUUAUUCUCUGGAAACUACUCUAGCUUUCUGUAUCACCCAGAAGUAAAAGAAAGAAACUCUGUUUCUGGUAGUAGAGCAUAGUCUCUAAGCUCUGCCUGGCUCAGCCUUUGUGGCAAAGAUCAUGAGUUGCUUACCAAAUACCCACUCUCUCCUUCUUCCUUAGUAAAAGAAUCCAAAUAUUCUUAGCUACACAUAUUGCUGCUUGGCAAGAGAGAUAAUUUACCAGCCUCUCUUGCAGCUAAGUAAGGUCAAGUGACUGAAUUCUGUCCUAUGAGAUGCAAGAGGAAGUACUGUAUGAGCUUCUGGGAAAGAAAGGACUACCUGUUGGCUGGAAUGGGGAGUUGCUAUGUAGAACUCGGGCAGUUAUCCUGGGUCUUGAAUUGACCUUGAGAGUGAAAGCUAUGUGUUUAGAAAACAGGUAACAGAAAUGGAAGCGUUAUGUUGAGCACCUGAAACUGAUAUUAUAUGCCAACUGUAAUUAAAAAAUAAAGAAAUACAUUUU